CUGGGCCCUGGCACAUGCGCCGCCCUCACAGUGUGUCUAGACUACGUCGGGGCACGUGCACAGCCAACAGAUCCGACACAGGAAAAAGCACUUCUCAGCUGUCCCCACCAUCCUGCUAUUUGUCAUUCCAUCCAUCUGCUGUCCCCACGAAACGCUCACCCACGUCAGCUAAAAUGGUACGCUGGGCUUGGAAUCGGCUGGGGAAAUGUCAGGCUGACAGAACAGGGGAGACAACGAAAAUAGCAACUGUGUGGACGGUGGUGGUGACACAAAUCUGCCCCUUUGCGUAGAAGGCAGGACUCCCAGAGCUCAGGAGGCCUCUUGCGGGGGAACUGGUAUGUGGCGAAGGCUACAGGAGGGGGCCCUGGGACUCAAGGGCAGCUAGAGCAGGGCCCUCUGAAGAAAAAUGUGUGGAUUUUCAU
rnacentral:lncRNA from 1 species